AUGCAAGUCGAGCGGAAAGGCCCUUCGGGGUACUCGAGCGGCGAACGGGUGAGUAACACGUGAGCAACCUGCCCCAAGCUUUGGGAUAACCCUCGGAAACGGGGGCUAAUACCGAAUAUUACUUGUGGUCGCAUGACUGUGGGUGGAAAGUUUUUCGGCUUGGGAUGGGCUCGCGGCCUAUCAGCUUGUUGGUGGGGUGAUGGCCUACCAAGGCGACGACGGGUAGCCGGCCUGAGAGGGCGACCGGCCACACUGGGACUGAGACACGGCCCAGACUCCUACGGGAGGCAGCAGUGGGGAAUAUUGCACAAUGGGCGGAAGCCUGAUGCAGCGACGCCGCGUGAGGGAUGACGGCCUUCGGGUUGUAAACCUCUUUCAGCAGGGACGAAGCGAGAGUGACGGUACCUGCAGAAGAAGCACCGGCCAACUACGUGCCAGCAGCCGCGGUAAGACGUAGGGUGCGAGCGUUGUCCGGAUUUAUUGGGCGUAAAGAGCUCGUAGGCGGCUUGUCGCGUCGACCGUGAAAACUUGGGGCUCAACCCCAAGCCUGCGGUCGAUACGGGCAGGCUAGAGUUCGGUAGGGGAGACUGGAAUUCCUGGUGUAGCGGUGAAAUGCGCAGAUAUCAGGAGGAACACCGGUGGCGAAGGCGGGUCUCUGGGCCGAUACUGACGCUGAGGAGCGAAAGCGUGGGGAGCGAACAGGAUUAGAUACCCUGGUAGUCCACGCUGUAAACGUUGGGCGCUAGGUGUGGGGGGCCUCUCCGGUUCCCUGUGCCGCAGCUAACGCAUUAAGCGCCCCGCCUGGGGAGUACGGCCGCAAGGCUAAAACUCAAAGGAAUUGACGGGGGCCCGCACAAGCGGCGGAGCAUGCGGAUUAAUUCGAUGCAACGCGAAGAACCUUACCUGGGUUUGACAUGGCCGCAAAACCUCCAGAGAUGGGGGGUCCUUCGGGGGCGGUCACAGGUGGUGCAUGGCUGUNGUCAGCUCGUGUCGUGAGAUGUUGGGUUAAGUCCCGCAACGAGCGCAACCCUCGUUCGAUGUUGCCAGCGCGUUAUGGCGGGGACUCAUCGAAGACUGCCGGGGUCAACUCGGAGGAAGGUGGGGAUGACGUCAAGUCAUCAUGCCCCUUAUGUCCAGGGCUUCACGCAUGCUACAAUGGCCGGUACAAUGGGCUGCGAUACCGUGAGGUGGAGCGAAUCCCAAAAAGCCGGUCUCAGUUCGGAUCGGGGUCUGCAACUCGACCCCGUGAAGUCGGAGUCGCUAGUAAUCGCAGAUCAGCAACGCUGCGGUGAAUACGUUCCCGGGCCUUGUACACACCGCCCGUCACGUCACGAAAGUCGGCAACACCCGAAGCGGUGGCCCACCC
rnacentral:rRNA from 1 species